rnacentral:miRNA from 1 species
UACCUCAUCAACCGGAAGGAAACCCUUCCGGUCAAAGAGGUCGAUGUACCUCCCUGACCGGGAGGGCUUCCUUCCGGUCAGCGAGGUACAUGUACCUCAUCGACCGGAAGGAAACCCUUCCGAUUGAUGAGGUA